rnacentral:rRNA from 1 species
CCAGCAGCCGCGGUAAUUCCAGCUCCGCAAGUGUAUUCCUAUACUGUUGCGUUUAAAUAGCUCGUAGUUGGAUCUGCGUGUUUAGCGCGCGGUGUUGCUUUUUGCAACUACUGCGACGCGACACAAAGCGCUAAGUACUCAUUGAGAGUAGUUAGCCAGUUUACUUUGAACAAAUCAGAGUGCUCAAAACGGGCGUUUCGCUCGAAUGUUCUUGCAUGGAAUAAUGGAAUAGGACCUUGCGUUCUAUUUUGUUGGUUUUCGGGACGCGGGUAAUGAUUAAGAGGGACAGACGGGGGCAUUUGUACUGCGACGUGAGAGGUGAAAUUCUUGGAUCGUCGCAAGAC